rfam:Clostridium acetobutylicum ATCC 824, complete genome.
GUGCCCAUAGCUCAGUUGGAUAGAGUCGCAGACUUCGAAUCUGAAGGUCGGGGGUUCGAUUCCCUCUGGGUGCA